UAACAGUACGUGAAAUUGUUGAAAGGGAAGCGCAUGGGGGCAGACUUGGACGCGGGGUUCAGGGUCACAAGUUUGAGGCCUGUACUUCCCCGCGGACAGGCCAGCAUCGGUUCUGGGGGCCGGACAAAGGCGACGGGAACGUGGCUCUCUUCGGGGAGUGUUAUAGCCCGACGUGCAAUGCGGCCACCUGGGACCGAGGACCGCGCUUCGGCAAGGAUGCUGGCGUAAUGGCCUCAUGCGGCCCGUCUUGAAACACGGACCAAGGAGUCUAACAUCUAUGCGAGUGUUUGGGUGGCAAGCCCGGACGCGCAAUGAAAGUGAACGGAGGUGGGAGCCCUUUUCUUGUGGAGGGGGUGCAGCAUCGACCGAUCCGGACGUUUUCUGAAGGAUUUGAGUAAGAGCAUAGCUGUUGGGACCCGAAAGAUGGUGAACUAUGCGUGAAUAGGGUGAAGCCAGAGGAAACUCUGGUGGAGGCUCGCAGCGGUUCUGACGUGCAAAUCGAUCGUCAAAUUUGCGUAUAGGGGCGAAAGACUAAUCGAACCAUCUAGUAGCUGGUUCCUGCCGAAGUUUCCCUCAGGAUAGCAGUAACGCGCGGCAGUUUUAUGAGGUAAAGCGAACGAUUAGGGAGCUAGGGGUUGAAACAACCUUUAUCCAUUCUCGAACUUUAAAUAUGUAAGAAGUCCUUGUUGCUUUGUUGAACGUGGACACUCGAAUGCGGCGUUACUAGUGGGCCAUUUUUGGUAAGCAGAACUGGCGAUGCGGGAUGAACCGAACGUGGGGUUAAGGUGCCGGAAUGCACGCUCAUCAGACACCACAAAAGGUGUUGGUUCAUCCAGACAGCAGGACGGUGGCCAUGGAAGUCGGAAUCCGCUAAGGAGUGUGUAACAACUCACCUGCCGAAUGAACCAGCCCUGAAAAUGGAUGGSGCUCAAGCGUGCUACCCAUACCCCACCGUCUGCGCAAGAGGGUUUGCGUAGACGAGUAGGCAGGCGUGGAGGUUUUGUGACGAAGCCCAAGGCGUGAGCC
rnacentral:rRNA from 1 species